UCAAACUCAGGACUUCGUGAUCCACCUGCUUCGGCCUCCCAAAGUGCUGGGAUUACAGGUGUGAGCCACCACGCCCGGCAGCUUGCAGGUGGCUGCUUUCUUGCUGUGUGUUCACAUGGUCAUUCGUCUGUGUGUGCACACGUGUAGUGUCUGUGUCUGUGUCCUAGCCUCCUCUUCUUAUAAGGACACCAGUCAAACUGGAUUAGGGCCCACUUUCCUGACCCCCUUUUACCUUAAUUCCCAUUUUAAAAGGCUUAUCUUCAAAUACCAUCACAUUCUAAGGUACUGGGGGUUAGAGCUUCAAUAUGUGAGUUUUAGGGAGACACAGUUGAGCUCAUAACAUUUUCUAUAGAACAAUCAAGUUUGAGACAUGCCACAUGCUAUAUUUUCUUCUUGGAAAUUUGCAAGGUAUAUAUGCAUAUGAAUGACUGUGCAAAGUCCUGGAAAACAUCCAGUAUUCAUCUUUCACACUCUCCCUGUUUGAUCCAUUAUUUAUUGAUAACCUUCCACUGGCUUCCUUUAUGCAUUGGCUGAGUGCAUUGAGCUGCCGCAUGGAAAUAUGAUCUGCCGGCUGCCGCUGGCAGUCAGGAAGGGAAGGUGGACAUGGAGAGAGCAAGCAAAAGCUGGAGUCUCAAGGAGAUGAAGUGGAACCCAGGGCUGUAUCUCAUUAGAGCGCAUGUUGGCCUCUCAUCACUUCCAGGCCUCCGGCUUUGAAGAUGCUCGGGGAGUUGCUUUGGAGGGCUACGUGGAGAGAAUGGGAUUGGUCCUCCCAACAGGAUCAGUCAGCUCCUCAUCUCAGCUGUGCUGUAACCCUGGUAUCUCUGCAGCCUGGUGAAGAUGACGGUGUUUUAAUGAAGCGUACAUCUCUACAGUAACUGGCCUGGCACAUGCAAACAGGAACAGCAGCUUCCUCUCCUGCAAGGCACGGUGCAGAUUGCUUUCCACGCAUUAUUUCUGCUCCUCGCACCACCCUCCCCAACCCGAAAGAUAGAGCAUAUUGUCCUAAUUUUACCAAGC
rnacentral:lncRNA from 10 species